GGAUGUAAUUUGAAUGUGUUAAUAAAUUUAAGUUAAAUGCACUUAAAUUAUUAAGUUUUUCUCCUGACCACGCCUCUUACACAUUGGUUUACGGCAGGUAAUGACGCCAUUUUGUCGUGGUGUGUGUGAAUUCAAGGAGCUGUUGAUGAGAAGUUGGAACAUUUGCCUUUUUAUCUUUUCCCCCCCUGAGAGACUGUUUGUGAGCAGUGAAAAUCGUUUGUUAAAGUUUAAACGACGGAACUGUUUUCUCCGGUUAGCUAGUGUUCUCUCUCGCGUGCGGUGGAUCACCGUGCAUGAACCCCUGAUCGGUGAGUUCGACGCGCGUUAUUUCGUCGUUUGUUUCUUUUUCAUACGAGGAGCUGUUGUUGGGCGUGUAAACUUAGUUUGAACCUCUGGCUGUCGGCGAACACCGCGGCCGCGGCCGCGCCCGCACCCGCGCUUCCAGCAGAGGAGGGAGGAUGAAGCGCGAAAAUGGUCAAGAAGAGAUGCUUUGGAUUAGAAGUAAAAGUUGUCAACGACGAGCCUGACAUCAGCCUGAUGGUACUUCAAUGGCCAGCUCUUUCUACAGU